AACGAACGCUGGCGGCAUGCCUAACCCAUGCAAGUCGAACGAGACCUUCGGGUCUAGUGGCGCACGGGUGCGUAACGCGUGGGAACCUCCCCUUAGGUUCGGAAUAACUCCCCGAAAGGGGUGCUAAUACCGGAUAAUGUCUUCGGCCCAAAGAUUUCUCGCCUUUGGAUGGGCCCGCGUUGGAUUAGCUAGUUGGUAGUGUAAAAGCCUACCAAGGCGACGAUCCAUAGCUGGUCUGAGAGGAUGAUCAGCCACACUGGGACUGAGACACGGCCCAGACUCCUACGCGAGGCAGCAGUGGGGAAUAUUGGACAAUGGGCGAAAGCCUGAUCCAGCAAUGCCGCGGGAGUGAUGAAGGCCUUAGGGUUGUAAAGCUCUUUUACCCGGGAUGAUAAUGACAGUACCGGGAGAAUAAGCUCCGGCUAACUCCGUG
rnacentral:rRNA from 1 species